rnacentral:piRNA from 1 species
UAACACUGCACAAAUAAGGAACAUAGCC